rnacentral:rRNA from 1 species
UACGGAGGAUGCGAGCGUUAUCCGGAUUUAUUGGGUUUAAAGGGUGCGUAGGCGGGAGAUCAAGUCAGCGGUAAAAAUGCGGGGCCCAACCCCGUCGAGCCGUUGAAACUGGUUUUCUUGAGUGGGCGAGAGGUAUGCGGAAUGCGUGGUGUAGCGGUGAAAUGCAUAGAUAUCACGCAGAACCCCGAUUGCGAAGGCAGCAUACCGGCGCCCAACUGACGCUGAGGCACGAAAGCGUGGGUAUCGAACAGG